rnacentral:lncRNA from 1 species
UCCCAGAAAAAUAAUUAAAAUGGCCUUAUUACAACCCAAAACCAACCAAUAAUAUUAAUAAGAUAAAACUUAUAAAGAAAUAAAUCGGCUACUUAUUGCAAGUAAAAGAAACAGAAACAGUAGUGUGGCCAUCUCUGAGUCCCUCGCAGCUCCAAACCAUCUAAGCUUAGGGAUUACCUGUACAGUUAGAAAUGGGGUGAGUUUACGAAAACUUAGUGUGUAAUCCCAAUAACAAACAAACAGUGAAAACACAGUAUCAGUACAAUCUGGGUCAAAGCCCUAUUUAGUCUUGACAUAUACUGGGCCGAAGCCUUUCGUUUAACGAUUACUGGGCUGAAGCCUUUUCAUAAAUCAUAUCACUGGGCCAAAGCCUUUUCAUAAAUCAUUUCACUGGGCGAAGCCUUUACUGUAAACCGUAUGGCCCAUAGGCCCAUUUCAAUAUCACAUGUAAUGUCAAUGGAUGUAAGCAAGCCCAUUUCAAUAUCACAUGAAAUACUAAUGAAUGUAUGCAAGCCCAUUUGGGGAGACUACUCAACCCACCAUCCGCUACUCUCCACCCGUACUAACCAACACACCAUGUGGGGAAUAACUCAACCCACCCAACCAACACACCACUGGCAGCAUAGCUGCUUUAUCAUAUAUCAGGAGGCCUAGCCUCUUUAAUAACUGGGGCAAAGCCCUUUUCGGUAAGCUGGGGCAUAAGCCCUUUUCAAUAAACUAGGGCAUAAGCCCUUUUCGGUAAACUAGGGCAUAAGCCCUUUUCAAUAAACUGGGGCAUAAGCCCUUUUCGGUAAACUGGGGCAUAAGCCCUUUUGCACUUCCUCCAUCCAUAUAAAAACCCAACCCAAUGCAACAUGUCAUGUAUGCAGAAUGUCAUGCCCAUAUUUGAAUUAAACAAUCACAGUCAAGUCAUUCAUAUCACCAACAUAUAUUCACAAUCAAAUCCGUCAACCACACAGUCCAAGUCAGUCACUUGCCCACAAGGGCACAACAGUCAGUUUUCACAUUAUAAGGGUAUUGUUGUAAUUUUACCAAAUAUUAGGGUUUUCCAUGUUCAUUACAAUUAUCAAUAUUUUCGAGUGUUUAAACAAUGAUCUUUAACCCACUUUAUCAAAUUCGGGCUUUUGGGCCCAAAACCCCUAAUGGGCCCUACGAAUGCUGAUUUAGCCUACUUAACCCAAAUUUUACAACAAUACUAAUCGUGUUAACGUGCAACUUUUCCAAAUUCCAUUUUUUAUCAAUUCUACCCAAAUGGGUCCGAAAGCCCAUUGGGCCCAAUUUCAGCCCAUUGAGGCCCAACUUACCAUCGUGCACAAAAUUGAGUUCUUACCUGUUCCAUCGAUCCAAACACCGAUCUUAUCGUAUUUAUCGUAUCUAUACCCAAAUGCAACAUUACAAGUUCUCGAAAUACCGAUAUUUUAGCAUUUCGGCUUCUCAGCAAAUAUUAAUCUAAGCUAUUAGAGGGUUAGUACACACCUGUUACGGGUUGAAGUUGAAAAGUUUCCAAAAUCAAUCGCCUACGAUAACCACCAGUUGUCACCCAAACUUAACUAAUCCAAUAUCAAUAUAUGUAAAUCCUAAGCAAAUUAGUCAUACGGAACAUAAGGGCAUAUUCGUCAUUUUACCAUACAGGGGUAUUACGGUCACUUUACCCUACAGGGGCUUUAUGGUCACUUUACCCUAUAGGGGCUUUACGGUCUUUUUACCUAAUAGGGGUAUUUUAGUUAUUUCAUCCUACAAGGGUGUUUUGGUAAAUCUACAAACCAAGGGUAUUUCAGUAAUUUUGUAAACCAAUGGUAUUUCUAUAAUUUUUAGAAAGUCAAGGGUAUUUCUGUAACUUUGUAAAUAAGGGGUAUUUUGGUAAUUUUACAAAUUGAGGGUAUUUCGGUAAUUUCACAAACCAAGGGUAUUUUGGUAAUUUUACAAACUAGGGGUAUUUUUGUAAUUUUACAAACCAAUGGUAUUUUAGUAAUUUUGUAAAUCGAGGGUAAAACAGUAAUUCUAUAAAUCAAGGGUAAAAUAGUAAUUCUAUAAAUCGAGGGUAAAACGAUAAUUCUAUAAAUCGAGGGUAAAAUGGUAAUUCUGUAAGUCGAGGGUAAAACGAUAAUUAUGUAAAUCGGGGGUAAAACAGUAAUUAUGUAAAUCAGGGGUAAAACGAUAAUUCUAUAAAUCGGGGGUACUUUGGUAAUUUUACAAGUCGAAGGUAUUUCAGUAAUUUUACAAAUCGAGGGUAUUUCAGUAUUUUUACAAACUAAGGGUAUUUCGGUAAUUUUAGUAAACUAAAGUAUUCUAAACAGGGAUAACAAUACGAAUGGGCCUAAAGCCUAUGCUCGGCCCAAAUGGGCCCACACGCUCGUGUGGCCCUUUUAGCCCAAAUCUAGCCACAGAUAUGAGAUUCACCUAGCCUAGUCUAAUAUUUACUACACAAUCAAACAACUUAUCCAAUUGGGCCGGUAGGCCCAUUAGGCCCACAUGGCCCCUUUCGGCCCAUCGCCGCCUGAAGUAGCCAUCCUACAGCUAGAGUAGUGAGAAAUACACACCUGAUAGGAGACUGGAGUUAAUCCACGCUCCGAGCACUCUUAGCCGACGC